rnacentral:lncRNA from 1 species
UUAAUAGGAACUCAACGAUAAAAAGAAAGACGAAAACGGAGUCCGUGUGAAGAAGUUACGAAUUUUACGUGGUCAUUUAACAGUGUAAUCUCCUCGUACUAUUAAAUAUAAGAUCGGUCGAGAAUUAGCCAACAGAGUCAUAAUGAAAGUUUUAGAUAUUAUUUUUACCUAUGCGUGGAUAUAAAGAACGUCGAAAAUGGAGCUCGUAUGAGAAAGUUAUGAAUUUUUGAAAAUCGGCUGAUUUCCACCCUGUGUGCGAUGCCACGCAUUAGCACUAGGCUGUGCCUGGGUGUCUCCAGCUNAAAGUUAUGAAUUUUUGAAAAUCGGUUGAUUUCCACCCUGUGUGCGAUGCCACGCGUUAGCACUAGGCUGUGCCUGGGUGUCUCCAGCUGGCUCACGAAGUGAGCAUCAAUGGUUCACGAUGUGAGUGACCCUCCAGCCCCCUAUAAAUAAGAGGUAAGGGCUCCAUUCUUCCUCACACCUUCCAACUUCUCUCUCUCUCU